CUUCCUUUCUGAAGUCUGCUCUGGUCGUGAGGGAGCCAUGGGCCUGCAUGUGGAAGAUCAACGUCAUGGCAUUGGUCCUCAAUGUGAUGGGGGAGUAAAUAACCAACACCGCUGAUCUUUUGAGACAUGAGGUGCUACAGAAGAUGUGGGGCCAUCUGGGUUUUCUCACCCCCCUGACCUUCAGCAUUAAUAUAGCAACACAAUGUUUGAGCUGCUACAAAGAAUGGCCUCCUAAUCCCAGACAGGGCAGAAAAUGAGCAGGGCUUCAACAACAGGAGGUCACUGUGAUGGCAGAAACAUGGCUCAAGAACUUGUGACAGUGGUUUAAGCUGCAACAAAGAAUGGCCCUCUGAUCCUGGACGUGAGCAGGGCUUCAACAACAACAGCAGAAAUAAUCUUCAAGAAACAACUUGAUGGUCAGCAGCCUUUCACUAUCAGAAAUGGCAAGAUGCUGCAGCUGUGAGGACACCUGUCUACCCGAAGCUGCUGUCACUCACCCAGGAAUAAAAAUAACUGUUGCUUCUGAGAAGCGUACAACUAAAAUCGGCUCCCAGUAUUGUAACAUACACUGCUAAAAACACUACGCAGCACUUAAUUGUCAUAUUAUAAUGACCAAUCAGUUAAACUUAAGGGAUAUCAAUCUGUCCAUCUAGGAAGCACAAGUGAUUGUGAAUCGAUUUCCCCUGUUUUGGUGUAAAUGAAAUUGACAACAGGUGCAAUGGAGAGGUAAAAGCAAGACAACUCCCAAAAAGGCAACGGUUUUACAUGUGGAGGCCACAGACAUUUGAUACAUCUUUAUCAUUCCUGGCUGAUCCUAGUUUUGUGUUGAUAGUGUCCAUGUCACUACUGGUAGCAUAAGGCUCAUGUUGCCAGAGUGUGUAGGCAGUUCCUGGAUGAUGAAGGCAUUGAUGCCAUUGAAUGGCCUCACGGUCCCCUGACCUAAAUCCAAUUGAGCACCUAUAGGAUGUUGUGUGCGCCAACUACCACCACAGACUGUCGAGAAACUCAUUGGUGCCCUGAUCAGGUCUGGAAGGAGAUCCCCCAGUACACCAUCCUCCAACUCAUCAGGAGCAGGCCCAGUUGUCAGGAGUGUAUACAGGACAUUUUGGUUUGACUGCCACGUCAUUUUGUUCUCAACAAAUUUUACAAUAUACACCAGUUAAGAUUUUCAACUUGAAUAAUUUGUUCAUCAAAAUCUGAUGUGAUUUCAGUAUUCACUGAAUGUUUUUAUAGCAGGUUAUUUGGCCUGUUUCUACUGUGUACCCAAUAAAGUGUCAUAA